rnacentral:rRNA from 1 species
GCGUGCCUGCGGAGGGAUCAUUGCUGGAAGCGCCGCAAGGCGCACCCAGAAACCCUUUGUGAACUUAUACCUACAUCGUUGCCUCGGCGCUGGCUGCCCCUCCCUCCGGGGAGGGGGCCCUGCCCUCCAGGUCGUAAAACACCUGGGGAAAAGGACAGCAGGCCCGCCGGUGGCCCAACAAACUCUUGUUUUUACCGAGUAACAUCUGAGUAAAGCUUCUAAAUAAAUUAAAACUUUCAACAACGGAUCUCUUGGUUCUGGCAUCGAUGAAGAACGCAGCGAAAUGCGAUAAGUAAUGUGAAUUGCAGAAUUCAGUGAAUCAUCGAAUCUUUGAACGCACAUUGCGCCCUCUGGUAUUCCAGAGGGCAUGCCUGUUCGAGCGUCAUU